rnacentral:tRNA from 1 species
AGUUAUAUAGUAUAUAGUACGUUUGAUUUCCAAUUAAAAAGAGAAAAAAAUA